rnacentral:rRNA from 1 species
AGUGAACGCUGGCGGUAGACCUAACACAUGCAAGUCGAACGGCAGCACAGUAAGAGCUUGCUCUUACGGGUGGCGAGUGGCGGACGGGUGAGGAAUACAUCGGAAUCUACUUUUUCGUGGGGGAUAACGUAGGGAAACUUACGCUAAUACCGCAUACGACCUACGGGUGAAAGCAGGGGAUCUUCGGACCUUGCGCGAUUGAAUGAGCCGAUGUCGGAUUAGCUAGUUGGCGGGGUAAAGGCCCACCAAGGCGACGAUCCGUAGCUGGUCUGAGAGGAUGAUCAGCCACACUGGAACUGAGACACGGUCCAGACUCCUACGGGAGGCAGCAGUGGGGAAUAUUGGACAAUGGGCGCAAGCCUGGUCCAGCCAUACCGCGUGGGUGAAGAAGGCCUUCGGGUUGUAAAGCCCUUUUGUUGGGAAAGAAAAGCAGCAGGUGAAUACCCCGCUGUUCUGACGGUACCCAAAGAAUAAGCACCGGCUAACUUCGUG